UCUUAAACUAAUUAGUACCGCCAUAUUUUUUUCAAUUUUUGGAUUUACAUGUUUUUAUCAGGUCAAGCAGGAUGAUAUCUCUGGUUCUCAUGACAUUUGGGAUGCUUGAAACUUUAUUAUCUUUUGAGUGAAGAGCCGUCUUUGUUUUGCAAACACUACCUGGAUAGAAAAUCCUACAAAGCGUUUGUAGAGAAGCAUACGGAAGCUAUGUUUGACAAAUGCCUGAUAUACAGGUUAGGCUCUGUAAAAAAUGAUUCACAGACAAUAAUGUAAUGGAUUCUGUUAUAUUAAUACAUUAUCA
rnacentral:lncRNA from 1 species